CGGGAAGUAGCUCAGCUUGGUAGAGCACUUGGUUUGGGACCAAGGGGUCGCAGGUUCGAAUCCUGGCUUCCCGA
rnacentral:tRNA from 1 species